AAAGGCCUACAGAAAUGAUAUUCAAUAAGAAACUAAGAUAGAAAUAACAAUCAUUAAGAACAAUAGAAUGAAAAUCGAAUACAAGCCUAAUAAUUUCUAAAGCUAGAACUGAAUCUGAUCUUCCAUAUCCAAUAUUCAAGAAUCUCUGAUCGUGCCCAAAUCUCCUACUGAUCUAAAGUCACUGCAAUGAAUUGCAAAUAUUAAUAGAACUACCAGUAUCCAAUAUCCAGUUCAUUGUAUCAAAAAUUGAGAAGUUACAAGGUAUUAUCAUAUAAUUACCUUAUCCAGUAAUCGAUUGCUUGUUCUUCUUUGGCCUGUU
rnacentral:lncRNA from 1 species